GGAGGCUGUGGCUGUCGGAGGGUUAAGGGAAGAGCUGAGCUCGAGUUAUUACACAAGGCCCAGCAGUACUUAAGGAUUUCUUUUGCAUUUUGGUGCAAAUUACUCAAGGAAUGGAUAAAGUUUUAAAUAUUCAGAGACUACAAAUUGCAUUUUAAAAACAACAUGGCCUACAUUUUGACACUUAGGGGGAAUUUACUCAUUCAAAACUGCCUAGGUUAUGAAUUUCAAAUUCUGCCUGGAAAACAUGAGUAUAAUAAAAACUUAGUACUACCUCUCUGUUUCUUUUCUAUACACAUAUAUCUCAAAACAGUCAUUUUAAUUUUUUAGACAAAUAACACAUUUUACUGUAGAAAAAUAAAAAGACAGGUAAUGGUCUUAUGCAUACCUUUCCAGAUUUUUCCCCUUUUGAAGAUAAAUUUUGUUACAAUAUCUGUGCUGUUCAAAAGACCCCCAAAGACCCCCCCAGAAACCCAAC